rnacentral:rRNA from 1 species
AGGAUGAACGCUGGCGGCGUGCCUAACACAUGCAAGUCGAACGCUCUCCAUUCGGUAGCAAUACUGAUGAAGAGGGAGUGGCGAACGGGUGAGUACCACGUGAGCAACCUGCCCCGAAGACUGGGACAACACCGGGAAACCGGUGCUAAUACCGGAUAUCCCUAUCGGAUCGCAUGAUCUGAUAAGGAAAUGGAUUCCGCUUCGGGAGGGGCUCGCGGCCUAUCAGCUAGUUGGUGAGGUAAUAGCUCACCAAGGCAUCGACGGGUAGCUGGUCUGAGAGGACGAUCAGCCACACUGGGACUGAGACACGGCCCAGACUCCUACGGGAGGCAGCAGUGGGGAAUCUUGCGCAAUGGGCGAAAGCCUGACGCAGCAACGCCGCGUGGAGGACGAAUGCUUUCUGAGUUGUAAACUCCUUUCAGCAGGGACGAUUGUGACGGUACCUGCAGAAGAAGCACCGGCCAACGUACGCG